rnacentral:rRNA from 1 species
AGAGUUUGAUCCUGGCUCAGAACGAACGCUGGCGGCAUGCCUAACACAUGCAAGUCGAACGAGACCUUCGGGUCUAGUGGCGCACGGGUGCGUAACGCGUGGGAAUCUGCCCUCUGGUACGGAAUAACUCAGGGAAACUUGAGCUAAUACCGUAUAAUGACUUCGGUCCAAAGAUUUAUCGCCUGAGGAUGAGCCCGCGUAGGAUUAGCUUGUUGGUGAGGUAAAAGCUCACCAAGGCGACGAUCCUUAGCUGGUCUGAGAGGAUGAUCAGCCACACUGGGACUGAGACACGGCCCAGACUCCUACGGGAGGCAGCAGUGGGGAAUAUUGGACAAUGGGCGAAAGCCUGAUCCAGCAAUGCCGCGUGAGUGAUGAAGGCCCUAGGGUUGUAAAGCUCUUUUACCCGGGAUGAUAANGACAGACCGGGAGAAUA